UAGGGAAUUUUCGGCAAUGGGGGGAACCCUGACCGAGCAACGCCGCGUGGACGAAGAAGUUCUUCGGAAUGUAAAGUCCUUUUAUCUGGGAAGAAAAAUAACCAAAUUGACGGUACCAGAUGAAUAAGCCCCGGCUAACUAUGUGCCAGCAGCCGCGGUAAUACAUAGGGGGCGAGCGUUAUCCGGAUUUACUGGGCGUAAAGGGUGCGUAGGCGGUUAAUUAAGUUUCUGGUGUAAGUGCAGUGCUUAACGCUGUGAUGCUAGGAAAACUGGUUAACUAGAGUGAGACAGAGGCAAGUGGAAUUCCAUGUGUAGCGGUAAAAUGCGUAAAUAUAUGGAGGAACACCAGUGGCGAAGGCGGCUUGCUGGGUCUAUACUGACGCUGAGGCACGAAAGCGUG
rnacentral:rRNA from 1 species